rnacentral:rRNA from 1 species
CCUACGGGGGGCAGCAGUGAGGACUAUUGGUCAAUGGGCGCGAGCCUGCACCAGCCAAGUAGCGUGAAGGAUGACUGCCCUACGGGUUGUACACUUCUUUUAUAAAGGAAUACAGUGAGGCACGUGUGCCUUAUUGUAUGUACUUUAUGAAUAAGGAUCGGCUAACUACGUGCCAUAAGCCGCGGUAAUACGGAGGAUCCGAGCGUUAUUCGGAUUUGUUGGGUUUAAAGGGAGAGUAGAUGGGUUGUUAAGACAGUUGUGAAAGUUUGCGGCUCAACCGUAAAAUUGCAAUUGAUACUGGCAGCCGUGAGUACAGUUGAGGUAGGCGGAAUUCGUGGUGUAGCGUUGAAAUGCUUAGAUAGCACGAAGAACUCCGAGUGCGAAGGCAGCCUACUAAACUGCCACUGACAUUGAUGCUCGAAAGUGUGGGUAUCAAACAGGAUUAGAUACCCUAGUAGUC